CUUAAACCUUUGGGCGUGGCUUCUGAAAGUCCAGAAUUAAAAAUACCAUAAUUAAAAAGAGCUUUCCUACAGCAGAGUUAAUGAGCAGAGAACACCCAAGAAAAUGCUGAUUUUUCUCUUAAAAUGCCUCCUUCCCUCUUCCUUUAGUCCCUGAGAUUUUGGUGGGUGCUGACCAGACAGACCCUUCCAGCAGAAGGAGGGUUAACUCCUGGAGAAAGGGGGUGGAGAGGGAAUCCCAGCUUGGAACUUGAGACUUUCCAGCUGAGAAAGAAAGAUUUGGAGAUGCAGACGUAAUCCCAGAGCUCUGCAAUCAGCUCCCUGUCAAAGGAAGUCGGGAAAAGCACAAGGAAAACUGGCCAGGCGCGCUGGGUGCAGGGCAGGACACAGAGCAGCAGUGCCACCACCUCCUCCAGGGAAUUUGUGCUGUUCCACUUGGAAAAACAGGAUUCCCUUCAGGAAACUCCCUCAGGAGUGAGAGAUCUGAGAGCUCUCAGCCCCCAGGGCCUCCAGGUUAGUGGAUUUUCUGUUGCAUCCUUUUAAAAACCAUUGGAACCGCAGCAGGAUGAGGAAUUAUUGUGGAGGAUAAAUAUCCCCUGCAAGGAACCUCACAAGGAUAUGGAAAAGUGUUUCCAAAAGCAAGGUAAGCAGAGGAAUCUGUAUUUUCCCUAAUUUAAUCUCUCUCCACCAUCCUGGAUGGAAGAGGAGCCUAAGUUUGUUUGCUCCUUGCACGAGAAAUGAUUUGAUUUUUUCCCUAAUGACUGGAAUUUAUGUAAAUUGACAAUAUCACAAAGGACAGGGUGAGAAAGAGCAGCUCCAGAGCUGGGUGUCAAUAAUUCUCCUGUUAAAGUUUGCUGUUGAGCUCAUGUUAGUUGUGUUUAAUCACGGGUUUAAGGGCAGGUUUCAGCCCUGAGGAAUUCCCUGAGUCUCUCCCCAGUGCUGGGAUUUCCUUGCUCAAGGGCUGCACUCAGAUCACCAGAGUUUGGAUUUGCUCUUAUUUCCUAUUUUAUCCACAAUAUUUUAGAAGAUGCAGUGCAGAAAAAGGAGGAUUUCAUGCAAAUUAAGG
rnacentral:lncRNA from 1 species